rnacentral:rRNA from 1 species
AACAGGAUUAGAUACCCGGGUAGUCACGCUGUAAACGAUGUCGAUUUGGAGGUUGUGCCCUUGAGGCGUGGCUUCCGGAGCUAACGCGUUAAAUCGACCGCCUGGGGAGUACGGCCGCAAGGUUAAAACUCAAAUGAAUUGACGGGGGCCCGCACAAGCGGUGGAGCAUGUGGUUUAAUUCGAUGCAACGCGAAGAACCUUACCUACUCUUGACAUCCAGAGAACUUAGCAGAGAUGCUUUGGUGCCUUCGGGAACUCUGAGACAGGUGCUGCAUGGCUGUCGUCAGCUCGUGUUGUGAAAUGUUGGGUUAAGUCCCGCAACGAGCGCAACCCUUAUCCUUUGUUGCCAGCGGUUCGGCCGGGAACUCAAAGGAGACUGCCAGUGAUAAACUGGAGGAAGGUGGGGAUGACGUCAAGUCAUCAUGGCCCUUACGAGUAGGGCUACACAUGUGCUACAAUGGCGUAUACAAAGAGAAGCGACCUCGCGAGAGCAAGCGGACCUCGUAAAGUACGUCGUAGUCCGGAUUGGAGUCUGCAACUCGACUCCAUGAAGUCGGAAUCGCUAGUAAUCGUAGAUCAGAAUGCUACGGUGAAUACGUUCCCGGGCCUUGUACACACCGCCCGUCACACCAUGGGAGUGGGUUGCAAAAGAAGUAGGUAGCUUAACCUUCGGGAGGGCGCUUACCACUUCGUGAUUCAUGACUGGGGUGAAGUCGUAACAAGGUAACCGUAGGGGAACCUGCGGCUGGAUCACCUCCUU